GGCCGGUUCCAGAGCACUGGUGUUCACAACUAGUUCAUGACCAGUUACAGGUUCCUUGUUCCUUCUCCACUCCCACUGCUUCCCUUGACUAGCCUUUA
ensembl:misc_RNA Y_RNA Y RNA